UUGAGAAGAUUUUUAAAGAUGCCACUAAAUUUUCAUGAACUCUUCAUUAUCUCUCCUUGAAAGAAGGCAUGGCACUUCCUGUGAACAAACUUAAAUCCCCUUCACCCAAGGAUGCUUUGUCACAUUUGCAGGUUAAAAAAAUUGGAGUACAUUGUUAUGAUGACCAGACUCGAAGGCAUUCAUGUAAUUGGGUGAAUCACAGAGUCUCAGGAAUCUUCUGGACUAACCAAAAGUGAUGGCUGAAACAAAUAUUAACUGGUAGUCUAC